rnacentral:rRNA from 1 species
UACAUGGGGUGCAAACGUUGCUCGGAAUUAUUGGGCGUAAAGCGCACGUAGGCGGUCCGUUAAGUCGGAUGUGAAAGCCCCCGGCUCAACCGGGGAAGUGCAUCCGAAACUGGCAGGCUAGAGUACGAAAGAGGGUCGCGGAAUUCCCGGUGUAGAGGUGAAAUUCGUAGAUAUCGGGAGGAACACCGGUGGCGAAGGCGGCGACCUGGGUCGAUACUGACGCUGAGGUGCGACAGCGUGGGGAGCAAACAGG